GCGAAUGGCUCAUUAAAUCAGUUAUCGUUUAUUUGAUAGUACCUUACCACUUGGAUAACCGUGGUAAUUCUAGAGCUAAUACAUGCUAAAAACCCCGACUUCGGAAGGGGUGUGUUUAUUAGAUAAAAAACCAAUGCCCUUCGGGGCUCUUUGGUGAUUCAUGAUAACCUAACGGAUCGCAUGGCCUUGCGCCGGCGACGGUUCAUUCAAAUUUCUGCCCUAUCAACUUUCGAUGGUAAGGUAUUGGCUUACCAUGGUUUCAACGGGUAACGGGGAAUUAGGGUUCGAUUCCGGAGAGGGAGCCUGAGAAACGGCUACCACAUCCAAGGAAGGCAGCAGGCGCGCAAAUUACCCAAUCCCGACACGGGGAGGUAGUGACAAUAAAUACUGAUACAGGGCUCUUUUGGGUCUUGUAAUUGGAAUGAGUACAAUUUAAACCCCUUAACGAGGAACAAUUGGAGGGCAAGUCUGGUGCCAGCAGCCGCGGUAAUUCCAGCUCCAAUAGCGUAUAUUAAAGUUGUUGCAGUUAAAAAGCUCGUAGUUGAAACUUGGGUCUGGCUAGCGGGUCCGCCUCACCGCGUGCACUUGUCCGGCUGGACCUUUCCUUCUGGAGAACCUCAUGCCCUUCACUGGGUGUGUUGGGGAACCAGGACUUUUACUUUGAAAAAAUUAGAGUGUUCAAAGCAGGCCUUUGCUCGAAUACGUUAGCAUGGAAUAAUAGAAUAGGACGUGCGGUCCUAUUUUGUUGGUUUCUAGGAUCGCCGUAAUGAUUAAUAGGGAUAGUCGGGGGCAUCAGUAUUCAAUUGUCAGAGGUGAAAUUCUUGGAUUUAUUGAAGACUAACUACUGCGAAAGCAUUUGCCAAGGAUGUUUUCAUUAAUCAGUGAACGAAAGUUAGGGGAUCGAAGACGAUCAGAUACCGUCGUAGUCUUAACCGUAAACUAUGCCGACUAGGGAUCGGGCGAUGUUUCUAUCUUGACUCGCUCGGCACCUUACGAGAAAUCAAAG
rnacentral:rRNA from 1 species